UAUAAGAUCCCUCAAAGAUGAUGAGGUUAAUAGGUUCGAGGUGGAAGCAUGGUGACAUGUGGAGCUGACGAAUACUAAUCGAUCGAAGACUUAAUCAA
rnacentral:rRNA from 1 species